rnacentral:tRNA from 1 species
GGAGAGUUGUCCGAGUGGUCGAAGGUGCGAAACUCGAAAUUUCGUGUCCCCUAACCGGGACCCAGGGUUCGAAUCCCUGACUCUCCGCCA